rnacentral:lncRNA from 1 species
CUAAUUAUUAACCCUACCCUCGCCUAAUUAUUAACUCUGCUCAACCUACUCCACAGAUCUCUGAAUAGGACACGUGUUCCCAUCACAGAGUGGUUUCUUAAAGGUGAACCAGCACCACACUAUUCAGGUGUCUGGAAGUUCGUUUUUGAGAAAAAUUAACAAACACCAUUUAUGGCCACUGUUGGCUUUCGAACAGACUACAGCAUUCUGAAAACGAUGAAGUUCUCUGGGGCGCUAAAACACGCCAUGCUCGCUUUUUGCCACGCUGCCUUCCGGCAACCGCACACGCGCGUCUUCCGCGCUUGGAGCACGGGAGACACGCGUUCCAGCGUGCGCGGUCCGCACGUGAUGACGUAGUCAGCACAGGACACUGGCUGUUAGUCGACCACCCGGAUGAGAAUGCACCUCAGGAUUGGAGCAGAGAAUCCUGGCCUCACGCAGGGCGGCAGCAGAGGAGCCACCCCGUUUACUAACACUUGCGCACCCAUGAAGGCAGCACGCAGAUCUUACGGUGUGGAGCCCAACAUGGCACUCAAUCCCAGGACCCUGAGAUCACAACCUGAGUAGAAACAAAGAGAUGGAUGCUUAACAGACUGCACCAUUCAGUUACCUGAGGUCAACCACUAUCAGGAUGCAGAUGAUCCUUCUAAUAUAUCAUCAAAGGGACAAUAGUGGCCUAAUGCUAUGUCACAAUGCCUGUGUCAUUCACUUCACUUCAUCUCAUCACUAGGCAUUUUAUCCUCUCACAUCAAAAGAAGAAGGAAAAUCUCAAGAUGAAGGUGUUUCCAGCAUAUUUUCAUGGACUCAACAAAGUCAUCCAUGUUUUUUGGUUCUUUUCAUCUCUAUGUUCUAUCAUUCUUAGCAUGUUAGCCUUUCACUCUCACCCUUAUUACCUCAUGAGUUGUCAGAAUGGGUUGAUAAGCUCCAGACUCAUGUCUAGCCCAUGAGUCCCUUAGUAUCUCAGUAUGUGUAUCUACUAGGUCUGUUCAGCUCACCAGUGUCCCACAGCCUUGGCUUCUGGAUAUUUUUGGUUUUACCUAUUCACAGUCCAUAGGUUCCCCCUCCUUUUUGCAUACCCCAACUUAAAAUUAACAUUGGCUCUUAAAAUUACGUAUCUGCUGGACCCCAGUGCAUUUCUUUGCCUGGAACUGAAGCUUAACCUCUGGGGGAUGCUGAUUAAUAAAAAACUCAAUUCUAAAAUGAGUUUCCC